rnacentral:tRNA from 1 species
CAAGGUAUAGCUAGUUAGUUUAGUAUUUCAGUUACGUUGAAAAGAAUUAUCGUGCAAAUCGGUAUGCUUUGA